UUGUUGGGUAGGGGAGCGUUCUGUAAGCCUGCGAAGGUGGCCUGUGAGGGUUGCUGGAGGUAUCAGAAGUGCGAAUGCUGACAUAAGUAACGAUAAAGCGGGUGAAAAGCCCGCUCGCCGGAAGACCAAGGGUUCCUGUCCAACGUUAAUCGGGGCAGGGUGAGUCGACCCCUAAGGCGAGGCCGAAAGGCGUAGUCGAUGGGAAACGGGUUAAUAUUCCCGUACUUGGUGUUACUGCGAAGGGGGGACGGAGAAGGCUAUGUUGGCCGGGCGACGGUUGUCCCGGUUUAAGCGUGUAGGUGUGUGUUCCAGGUAAAUCCGGUUCACUUUAACACUGAGGCGUGAUGACGAGGCACUACGGUGCUGAAGCAACAAAUGCCCUGCUUCCAGGAAAAGCCUCUAAGCAUCAGGUAACACGAAAUCGUACCCCAAACCGACACAGGUGGUCAGGUAGAGAAUACCAAGGCGCUUGAGAGAACUCGGGUGAAGGAACUAGGCAAAAUGGUGCCGUAACUUCGGGAGAAGGCACGCUGACACGUAGGUGAAGUGAUUUACUCAUGGAGCUGAAGUCAGUCGAAGAUACCAGCUGGCUGCAACUGUUUAUUAAAAACACAGCACUGUGCAAACACGAAAGUGGACGUAUACGGUGUGACGCCUGCCCGGUGCCGGAAGGUUAAUUGAUGGGGUCAGCGCAAGCGAAGCUCCUGAUCGAAGCCCCGGUAAACGGCGGCCGUAACUAUAACGGUCCUAAGGUAGCGAAAUUCCUUGUCGGGUAAGUUCCGACCUGCACGAAUGGCGUAAUGAUGGCCAGGCUGUCUCCACCCGAGACUCAGUGAAAUUGAACUCGCUGUGAAGAUGCAGUGUACCCGCGGCAAGACGGAAAGACCCCGUGAACCUUUACUAUAGCUUGACACUGAACAUUGAGCCUUGAUGUGUAGGAUAGGUGGGAGGCUUUGAAGUGUGGACGCCAGUCUGCAUGGAGCCGACCUUGAAAUACCACCCUUUAAUGUUUGAUGUUCUAACGUGGACCCGUUACCCGGGUUGCGGACAGUGUCUGGUGGGUAGUUUGACUGGGGCGGUCUCCUCCUAAAGAGUAACGGAGGAGCACGAAGGUUGGCUAAUCCUGGUCGGACAUCAGGAGGUUAGUGCAAUGGCAUAAGCCAGCUUGACUGCGAGCGUGACGGCGCGAGCAGGUGCGAAAGCAGGUCAUAGUGAUCCGGUGGUUCUGAAUGGAAGGGCCAUCGCUCAACGGAUAAAAGGUACUCCGGGGAUAACAGGCUGAUACCGCCCAAGAGUUCAUAUCGACGGCGGUGUUUGGCACCUCGAUGUCGGCUCAUCACAUCCUGGGGCUGAAGUAGGUCCCAAGGGUAUGGCUGUUCGCCAUUUAAAGUGGUACGCGAGCUGGGUUUAGAACGUCGUGAGACAGUUCGGUCCCUAUCUGCCGUGGGCGCUGGAGAACUGAGGGGGGCUGCUCCUAGUACGAGAGGACCGGAGUGGACGCAUCACUGGUGUUCGGGUUGUCAUGCCAAUGGCACUGCCCGGUAGCUAAAUGCGGAAGAGAUAAGUGCUGAAAGCAUCUAAGCACGAAACUUGCCCCGAGAUGAGUUCUCCCUGAGACUUAGAGUCUCCUGAAGGAACGUUGAAGACGACGACGUUGAUAGGCCGGGUGUGUAAGCGCAGCGAUGCGUUGAGCUAACCGGUACUAAUGAACCGUGAGGC
rnacentral:rRNA from 1 species